UACGGGGGGGGUAAGCGUUGUUCGGAAUUACUGGGCGUAAAGGGCUCGUAGGCGGCCAACUAAGUCAUACGUGAAAUCCCUCAGCUUAACUGGGGAACUGCGUGUGAUACUGGAUGGCUUGGAUUUGGGAGAGGGAUGCGGAAUUCCAGGUGUAGCGGUGAAAUGCGCAGAUAUCAGGAGGAACACCGGUGGCGAAGGCGGGUCUCUGGGCCGAUACUGACGCUGAGACGCGAAAGCGUGGGGAGCGAACAGG
rnacentral:rRNA from 1 species